rnacentral:rRNA from 1 species
GGAAUCUUCCACAAUGGACGAAAGUCUGAUGGAGCAACGCCGCGUGAGUGAAGAAGGUUUUCGGAUCGUAAAGCUCUGUUGUUGGUGAAGAAGGAUAGAGGCAGUAACUGGUCUUUAUUUGACGGUAAUCAACCAGAAAGUCACGGCUAACUACGUGCCGG